rnacentral:lncRNA from 1 species
AGAUGAUGAAUCAGGGAGGCUUUCUGAUGUCCUCUGCUCUCUGGCCCUCCACCGUUCAUUCUCCUGUGUAAGUGCCAGUGUCUGUUUCUUUCUCCAGCCUCACGCUCUAAACAAGAUGCCUCUGGCAGGAGGCCUGGGUAGAUGGAGUCUUCCAAGUCCAAUGCAACUUCACUGUUCCUGACUUAUGAAGCGUGAGAUUUCAGCCAUCUCCUACGAUGAGGAGUCUCAGUCCUCAUACAUAGAGGGAACAUUUCUGUCUGACCCUAGCAAGGUGUCAGGAGACAUGCACAGUGCUGGUCUGACUUGCACUGGAAUUCUUGUCUACUGUCAUGUUGAGCCCUCGCCUGCCCUCUCUCAGUCCAGCCUGCCAAGCAGGGACCACAGUGGUACCUGCCACAGAACUGCACGCUGCCUGAGUUAGUUCCCAUAGCUGUUAGCAAAGAUCCUCAGUGACCGAGCCCCUUGUUAGAGCUGCCCAGUACUUAACAGCUGUUGAAAUAAAUACACACUUAUUCU